UUCAUUCUCCUCCAUCUGCCAAAAUAAGCAUAUUCCACCUCCUCUCGUACUGUCUUCGUCAUAAUCUAAUCCACGAAGCUCGUCUGAAGACCCAUUACGAAGCCCCCAUGUACCACGACGGAAUACAGUAAUUUCUUUUCCACCAACCAUGGAAUCUAUUUUCUUGGUAAUUUGGUUUCCAUGGAAUUUGAACUCCAAUUCCUUCUAAUAUUUUCUAGCGAACCAAACAGACUGUACCAAAAUGUCAAUUUGUUCUGUUAACCUAUGACACAUAGCAAAUUAGCAAUAUAGGAGAAAGUAACGUAGAAAUAAAAUAUUUGUAAUUUGGGUUGUCUGGGAGGAGGAGUGGUUGACUUGAUCUGAAAUAAAGCCUCAGCCAUUGCUGUGAGUUAUGUAAAGGUUGCAAUCUGAUGAUCUCGUUCGUAGCUAUUACAUUAUUGUAGAAAGAGAGAGAGAGAGAGAGAGGUGAGAUGGCAUCUAUUGCGUUAGCUUCUCUGAGGGCAACAAUGGAGUUUGAGAUCCAGCAACCCAGCCCUCGGGUUCUUCCUGAUGAACUACAACAGAUGAGAUCUAUUCUACAAGAUCUCGCACCUUUGCAAGCCUUUCUGGAUAAAUUUAACAUCAAAGCCGGGCGCAAGGAUGCUGAAAGCAGAGAUGUGGAACUCAAAAUCAAACGCUUUGCUCUUCAAGCAGAAGACCAGAUUGAGAUUCAUCUCAGAAACAUUAUACUAGAAGAAGACACACGCAGAGAACUCCGUAGAAGCCUGGGGGAAAUCAGAAAAGAGAUAGGUGGGUUGUCUCAGAUUGUGAUCAACCAUUCCGAUAAUGAUGAGUCCCACCACCACGAUAUCCCUUCACAGCUAUCCGCGGAUAAAUGGAGAUCACAGACGCAUGAAGUAGAAAUGGUGGGACGCCACAAGGAAUUGUUUCAAAUAGAGCGACUUUUGCGGUGCUUCAAUAAACGACCAAUCUCUUCUCCUCUCACACCAAGCGUUAUCUCAAUUUGGGGAAUGGGAGGCAUUGGCAAGACUACUUUAACAAGAAAAGUUUAUGAGAAGCCAAUGGAGUAUUUUGGUGUUCGUGCUUGGGUUACGGUGUCUCAGAAAUAUGAGCUGAAACAAAUUAUCAUUUCCCUUCUUCGAUGCAUUAAGACCAUAACCCCUGAAGAAAUUAAGGUGGCAACCGAGGAUGAAUUAGCAUGUCAAUUAAGAAAGUUGAUGACUGAGAAAACUUAUCUAAUUGUUUUGGACGAUGUGUGGAGUACUAGAGCUUGGGAUGAAAUCUUAGGACUGUUUGCCCAUGAAAGAAAUGAAGGCUUCAUAUUAUUGACAACUCGAGACAGGGAGGUGGCUAUGUAUGCUAGUGAUUGUGAUUUUGGUAAAACCUAUAACUUGAGCAUUUUAGAGGAAAAAGAUAGUUGGGAACUAUUUCGUAAUAUCUUUCCUCUUGAAAAGUAUAUGGCACCUAGAUUUAACAAAUUUUGGAGCUAUUUGGCCCGUGUUGUGGAGAAAUGUGAUGGACUACCACCUACAAUUAUUGCAGUUGCGGAGCGUCUGUCUAAAUGCAAAAAUGCAACAAAGGAAUUGAAAAACAUUGAAAAGGAAUUAGAAUCAUUAGGAAUUAUAGGUCACAAUAUACGUACUCACAUUUACUGUCAAUUGUCAGAAGAUUUGAAAGUUUACCUUCUAUAUCUUGGAGUCUUUCCAAAACGUAGUGAAAUCCAAGUUAAAACACUUCUCAGGUUAUGGAUUGCUGAAGGAUUGGUGAAGCAAACAUGUGCUAUGAACAUAGAAGAGACUGCUUAUAGGUAUUUAGAAUCUCUUGUCGAUAGAAGUCUUGUCUUAAUUUGCAACUUGAGUUCUGAUGGAAAAAUUAAGAGUUGUAGGGUGCAUAGUGCCUUGCAUAGCGUCUGUGUAGUAGAAGCUCAAAAAGAGGGCAUUUUAUGUGCUGUAAAUACUCUUCAACAUGUGGGAUUGCCAUUAAGUAGCGUGUUUGCAAAUUCAUGUCGUUGGUUAAGUUUAUACACACAUGGUUUCGACUAUUACGUGUUGCUUGGUACAAAUAUUUGUCGCUCUAUUUUCUUCUUUUGUGAAAAUUCAGAAUCAGAAUUUGUGCCUCUCAGGUUUUUAAGAGUUCUGGCAUUUGUUCCAUCUCGAUUCCUUGAAAGAGAGAAUUUAGGGAACCUAGUAUUUUUGAGAUAUGUACAUGUAAAACAAUGGUUUGAGGGUCUGGAGGAUAUAGUGCCAACUAAUCCAAAUCUGCAAGUACUUAUUGUGACUCAUAAGGGAACAAUUGCAAGCUCGAUGUGUUUGCCAUCUAAAAUUUGGGAAACACCAAAACUAAUAAGGCAUGUGGAGGUUAGCUAUUCCCUUUCAGUGGAUCCUCCUCCUCCUAGCGAGGUUAGAGAGUCGUUGCAGACAUUAUAUUGGUUGAGUCUACACCAUUGUACAGAGGAUGUGUUUUCAAGGAUUCCGAAUGUCAAAAAGUUGGGGAUUAUUUGUGGAGGUGAUAAGGGAAGUAGUAGUCCAAAUGAGGAUAACCUUGGUAAUCUUGGUAGUUUGGGUGAGCUCAAGACAUUAAUGAUUGCAUUUCGGAAAGGCUCACCAACAGGCUUUCAGAAUCUCAAGUCAUUGCCGUUACACCUCAACAUUAAGAAAUUGAAACUGAAGAGAACUUGUUUGCCGUGGAGUGAAAUAAACGUAGUUGGCAUGUUGCCCAACCUUGAAGUAUUAAAACUGAAAGAAGCCUCAGAUGGUUCAGAUUGGAACUCCAGCCUGCAGAGAGGCUUCUUUAAGCUAGAAUUCUUGUAUGUUGAAGCUAAAAACCUUGUCCGUUGGGAGAUCAAUGAGUUCGAUGAGUUUAUGUGUCUUAAGCACCUAGUCCUUAAAAGGUGUACACAAUUGGAAGCUAUUCCAACCGGCUUUGAAGUUGUAAGGACACUGGAGUCAGUUGAGUUACUAAAUUGCUCCCUCCAUCUUAAGGAACAUGUCAAACAUGUUAGUGAUACUCGGAUGGCUUAUUUUGGAUUCAGACCCAUUCUUAUUCGCCAUGUGAACCAAAAACAAGAAGUUGAAGAGGUUAAUGAUUAAUUCGUCUGAAUAAACGAAUUGAAUUGUACAUGUGUAUUGCAAUUAAAUUGCCUAUUUUCAGUACUUGCCUUGGUUAUGAUUUGCAGGAGCCUGCUUCUGGUGAUUCAUACAUUUUGAAGUUGGCGUUUUAAUUAUCAUUGAAAUACUGAAUUCAUAAAGCUUUACUUUGUGUUGAUUAGAAUGAUGCAUGUUGUGGUUCAAUACCGUCUACGGAGAUUCUUAAACAA